rnacentral:rRNA from 1 species
GCCUGAGUAAUAAGAAGUCUUGCCUGCGAGUGACUAAUUAACGGCCGCGGUAUUUUGACCGUGCGAAGGUAGCGCAAUCACUUGUCUUUUAAUGAGACCUGUAUGAUGGUGUACGAGGCUUACUGUCUCUCCUUCGAGUCAAUGAAUUGAUCUGCCCGUGCAGAAGCGGACAUAAAAUACAGACGAGAGACCCUUUGAGCUUAAGAUACAAGAUCAACUAUGUCAGACCAAAAGUAAACUAAAUAGCAACUGAUCCCUAUCUUCGGUUGUGCGUCCGGGGUAUAAACAAGUUCCAGCGGUAUGGGCACCGCGACACCAGAAUGAAUUCCAUUCAGAUUCGAGCUUAUUCGCAGCAGAUACGACAGUACUGAACCGUUCUCUCGAGCCAUGAGAGUUCACCAUGUGACGACCAUGGGACCUAUUUGUGUUCUAUAUAGCCAUU